rnacentral:rRNA from 1 species
UACAGAGGGUGCGAGCGUUGUUCGGAAUUAUUGGGCGUAAAGGGCGCGUAGGCGGCGCCACAAGUCACUUGUGAAAACUCUGGGCUCAACUCAGAGCCUGCAAGCGAAACUGUGGUGCUGGAGUAUGGGAGAGGUGCGUGGAAUUCCCGGUGUAGCGGUGAAAUGCGUAGAUAUCGGGAGGAACCCCUGUGGCGAAAGCGGCGCACUGGACCAUAACUGACGCUGAGGCGCGAAAGCUAGGGGAGCAAACAGG